AGGUUGUGGCUCAGUGGCAGAGCACUUGCCUAGCAGGUGUGAGGCACUGGGUUUGAUUCUCAGCACCACCUA
rnacentral:tRNA from 1 species